UACAGAGGGUGCAAGCGUUGUUCGGAAUUAUUGGGCGUAAAGCGCGUGUAGGCGGCUUUGCAAGUCGGGUGUGAAAGCCCUCAGCUCAACUGAGGAAGUGCGCCCGAAACUGCAGAGCUUGAGUACCGGAGAGGAUGGCGGAAUUCCCCAAGUAGAGGUGAAAUUCGUAGAUAUCGUGAGGAAGACCAGUGGCGAAGGCGGAUCUCUGGACAGUUCCUGACGCUGAGGCGCGAAGGCCAGGGGAGCAAACGGG
rnacentral:rRNA from 1 species